rnacentral:sRNA from 1 species
AAUAUCAUUUACUAAGUUGUUCAUCUUGUUAUCAUCUUGCUAUUACUCUGUUGCUAUUAUGUUUUCAUUAUGUUCAUCGUUUAUGUCUUCUACAAUGAUGUGUGAGUAGUGAAUAGGUUUCUGAGGAUGGGUUAGAGUAGUUUAGAAUUCUCAGUAUGCUAGGUGGUUGAGUUUGAUUUAUAGAUCCUUUCUGGAUUAGUUGUUCUUAAUGCCUAUUGCUUUCUGAUCAACUAGAAUUUGAGCUCAGACAUUUCCGCGCCCAAAAGGUGUUCGAUGAAAUGUCUGAACCACUAAUUCCAGAGAUUCUUGGCUCUGUACCAAGGUAUUGGUUUUAGGGAGCGUUUUGGCUUUAACUUGUUUGAUUCGUAAUGCCUGUUAGGUUAGCUCUCGUCAAUGGUGAUUGAGUCUGGGACAAGUUUAACUUGAGGGUCUCUGUUGCAGUGGCACUUAGAUUUGGUUACCGAACUUGUUGGCUAGGGAUAAUUUAUUGAGCAUGUCAAUUACCUGUAAACUGAGGAAACGAAACUACUCAAUUACCCCAUCCUCGGGAAUUCUUUAUCUGAUUGAUUUCUUUGUUUACUCUACUGUUGUUUACUGCAUCUUAUUACCUGUUGUUUAGUUUUUGCAUUUCUCUCUUGUUACUCGACCUGAUACUCGACCACUUAGUUGUCUGACUGUGCAGUCGAGUAUCUCUGUUACAUUUUCUAUCUGUUACUCGAUUUGUCAUUCGAUCACACCCAGUGCUUGGCAACAAGCUGUGUUGGUCGAGUGUUUCUACUGUUCUGCUUAAAUUUCUGUCUCCUGCAUCUUCACUUAGGACUGCUAGAACACACCAAAACCUGUUAUUGCUUGGCUUGACCCUCUGUGAACUUUGAUUGCAUCUUAAUUGCUAGCAUCACACUCAUUUCGAUUGACAACCUUCAGUACUACAACGAGAUUAUUGGUGUUUUAGGAUAAUUGAAAAAAGACAUAUUAUCAAUUUGGCGCCGUUGUCAUUGGGUUUUUGUUUGUUACAUUUGAGAUUUCAGACUUGCAUAGACCAAGUUCUUUUUCAAUUUUUAUUUCUGUUACUGACUUUGUGAUUUUCUUGUUGUCUUCUUGAUCCAGGUACACCUCUACUGUAUGCAAACUUGAUCAACAUGCAACCAGAACCUUCUUUUCAACGAUAACAUUGACCGCAUCGCUCGCGAACUCAGAGAAAGGAGAAACACAGUCAACCUUUUACCCCAGAAAUCACUCAAAAUGGCUGACAAACAAAAUCAACAGAAUGGCCCUGCAAAUAUUGGUGUUGGAGAUGCACCAAGGAACCACCGUCAGAGGAAAGGAAUUGCACCUCCUGCUAUCCAGAACAACAACUUCGAGAUCAAGAGUGGUCUCAUCUCGAUGAUUCUGGGGAACUCGACCACUUGGAUGAAUUUGAUAGACUCUGCAACCUAACAAAAAUCAAUGAUGUCAGUGAAAACGGAUUCAAGCUCCGGUUGUUUCCAUUCUCCUUGGGCGACAAUGCACACAUCUGGGAAAAUAAUCUGUUCCAUGACUCAAUCACCACCUGGGAUGAUUGCAAGAAGGCUUUUCUAGCAAAGUUCUUCUCCAACGCCAGAACUGCAAGACUCAGAAAUGAGAUUUCUGGUUUUUCACAGAAGACUGGUGAAAGCUUCUGUGAAGCAUGGGAGCGUUUCAAAGGCUACACCAACCAAUGCCCUCAUCAUGGCUUCAAGAAAGCCUCUCUGCUCAGCACUCUUUACAGAGGAGUUCUACCACGGAUCAGAAUGCUUCUGGAUACCGCCAGCAAUGGUAAUUUCCACAACAAAGAUGUUAAAGAAGGCUGGGAAUUGGUUGAGAACCUAGCUCAGUCAGAUGGAAAUUACAAUGAGGACUGCGACAGAACCAUCAGAGGCACAACUGAUUAUGAUGAUAAACACAGGAAGGAGAUCAAAGCGCUGAAUGACAAGCUGGACAAAAUUCUUCUUAGCCAGCAGAGGCAUGUGCACUUCCUUGUUGAUGACGACCAGUAUCAAGUCCAAGAUGGGGAGGGGAACCAGUUAGAAGAAGUUAGCUACAUCAACAACCAAGGUGGCUACAAAGGGUACAACAACUUCAAGACGAACAACCCCAACCUCUCUUAUCGCAGCACCAACGUUGUUAAUCUUCAGGAUCAAGUGUACCCUCCAUAGCAACAACAAGGCCCAAACAAACCUUUUGUUCCCUACAAUCAAGGUUUUGUUCCCAAGCAACAAUUUCAGGGGAACUACCAGCAACCACCACCACCUGGGUUUGCUCCUCAUCAACACCAAAGUCCUGCUGCUCCUGAAGCUAAAUGAAACAGAUGGUACAACAGUUGCUACAAGGACAAGCAUCUAGCUCCAUGGAAAUUGCAAAGAUGUUAUCUGAAUUGCACCAUAAGCUGGACUGUAGCUACAAUGACCUGAAUGCCAAAGUGGAGGCAUUGAAUACAAAAGUCAGAUACUUGGAGGAACAAUCCGCAUCUACCUCUGCUCCCAAAGUUACAGGACUUCCAAGGAAGUCCAUACAAAAUCUAAAGGAGUAUGCAACUGCUCACGCCAUCACUAUCCGCCAGGAUCGAGAGCUGCCAACUCGACCUGUUCCUAACUUAAUCACUGGGGACAAUGAUGUUCAAGAAGGGGAGCCCUCUACUCAGAUUGAUGUCUCUGUUGUUGAAUUCAACCAUUCUGUUGGUUCUCGCCAUCACAUUCAAUCCACCUCAGAAGAAAAAGCAUCUAUAAUUGAGAGAAUGGUAAAACGUUUCAAACCUACUCCAUUACCCUCACGUGCUCUUCCAUGGAAAUUCAAGAAAGCCUGGAUGGAGAGAUACAAAUCUGUUU